AUGGGUGCCGAGCUGAUGCGUCGCUUCUUCUAUCGCAAGGUCGUCCUCUCCGACUCCGACUCGCCGGGCCCUGCCGCCGCCAUGCUGAUCACGGGACCGCGAUUCGGCGUCCCGGCCUUCGCCACGGCGCAGGGCGGCGGGUGGAGGCUGGCUCCCUCACGUGAAGGCGUGGAGGACGCCGUCCACUACAACGGCAAGUUCCACUCCAUCACCUACGCCGGCGCCGUGGAGGCGUGGGAGCAGCCUGCCAAUGCUGGCGGCGUGUUUGCGAGCACAGCGGUCGCGCCAAGGCCAAGGCUGCCCAAUGCGGACGGCGAUCCGUCGUCGUGCCGCAAGUACCUUGUAGUGGUGCCGGGCGGCCGGCUGAUGGUGGUGCUCAAGGAGUCCAAGGAGGAGACCACGGAUAAGUACUCCCGCCCUCGGAGGACGUGCUCCUUCAAUGUGCAGGUCCUUGACGGGGAACAGUGGAAGGAGACGGACGAUAUCGGGGACGCCGCGCUGUUCGUCGGGGUGAACAGUUCGCUCUACGUGUCGACGAGGGAGCACCCGGAGCUCAGGGCCGGCUGCAUCUACUACACCGAGAACGAUACAGAACUGUGCAAGGAUGGCCACAACGCCGACGAAGACAACAGAGUCGGUGUGUACAGCCUCGAGGUCGGUUGGACUGAGAAGGUCGAGGGCCUCGGGCAGCACAGGAGCUGGCCGCCUCCGGCGUGGUUCAUUCCUGCCAUCCCAUGA
rnacentral:rRNA from 1 species